AUUGUCAAAGCAAACCAAACAACCGGUUGGAAUUCUUAUUUGGAUUUUCUUUCCUCCUAUUUGAAUAAUUCGGUAUUGUUUUAAUUUUCACCUUCUGCUCAUAAUAUUUCUCUGACGCCCUUACACUUGGACUAAAUAACUACACAGUAUUGAACAUAACUUUUUUAUUGCGACAAUUAUUGUGAGAGUACUUUACAGUAUACGAUCUACUACUACUUUUUCCCAAAAAAAUGAACAUGGUAAAUAGAUUCGUGCAAGCAGAUUCUAGUAACCUGCCAGAAGUAAACACCUUGAUGAUUCUUGAAUAUGUUAUAAGCAGCAACAGGCACAGUAUUGAUGAAAUAAGAGAUGUGAAACAAUUGGCGGCAUCAGACGAAAAUUAUGUUAUAGAUGCUGUAGGAUUUGUGCAGCUAAAAAACAAUGGCACUGAAUGCCUUGUUAAGGCCAAAGUUGCCUCGGAAGAGGAGGGCGAAAUUAAAUAUUACACUGUGUCUGUUCAUGUAAAUGAAAAUGCCAUUACUGACAGUUCAUGUAAUUGCCAUCCUGAAUUAGCAGGAGGGUGCAAACACACUUUGUUGUUCAUGUGUUGGCUGGAAGUGAAAUCGUCAAUACCUGAAAGCGCUCCAGUGCAAUGUUUUUGGCAUAAACCCCUAUUGGGAACUAAUUAUUCACUGCUUGCCAAGGACAUAUUUAAUUUCUAAAGAGCGCGCAACAUCUAUAGCAGAAUGAAGAUGCAAACACACGUUUUUGUUCCUGUGUUGGUUGAAAAAUAAAUCAUCCAUACCUGAAAGAGCUCCAGUCCAAUCUUUUUGGCAUAAGCCUCUCUUGGGAACUAAAGAUUCUCUGCUUGCGAAGGACAUUUUUAAAUUCAAAUCAAAAAGGAGUGCCGUAGAGCCACAGCCAAGAAACCCUGAUGUGCUGAAUAACUUUCUUGAAGAAUGUAAGAAAAGAAACAUUACAAACUCUCUUAUUUUGAACUAUUCACCUCCACAGUAAAUGCUGUUGGUAAGUGCUUGUUGCUUAAUGCACAAUUUUUUAUUAAGUAAGUUUUUUAUCACCUAAAGGAUGAGAAGACAUCCAGUUUUUGUUUUAUAAUAUAAGUUAAUUAUCAUUCCAGUUUAAAAUGGUAGACAUUGUCAAUGUUUUAUUUUAAACCCGUGGAGUGCCCUAGUAUCACACAUGUGAUACUCCAUACUACUGUGACACUAGGGCGCUCCAUGUGUUAACAUGUAUAAUACCUACUAAACUAUUAGAUCUUACCGUAAUGUGGUGCUUUUAAACUGAAUAUUUUGCACUUUUAGUUUAAUAUUAAAGCUCUGUUUUAUAAGUUUAAACACAGUAAAGUUUUACUAGUUAUACUUUACUGUUAUUUUUCAGAAACGUUAACUUUAACAACUUGAAGUGAAUUUCUAUAUAAGUAAGUUUCUUUGUUACUGUGUCUCUGAUCUUUAUUAAAUAUUAGUAAGUUUUGA